GCCCCGAUGGUGAAAUUGGUAGACACACCGGACUUAAAAUCCGUCGCAGAAAUGUGUGCCGGUUCGACUCCGGCUCGGGGCACCA
rnacentral:tRNA from 6 species